rnacentral:rRNA from 1 species
UGGGGAAUCUUGGACAAUGGGCGCAAGCCUGAUCCAGCCAUGCCGCGUGAGUGAAGAAGGCCUUAGGGUUGUAAAGCUCUUUUACCAGGGACGAUAAUGACGGUACCUGGAGAAUAAGCCCCGGCAAACUUCGUGCCAGCAGCCGCGGUAAUACGAAGGGGGCUAGCGUUGUUCGGAAUUACUGGGCGUAAAGCGCACGUAGGCGGAUUGUUAAGUCAGAGGUGAAAUCCCGGAGCUCAACUUCGGAACUGCCUUUGAUACUGGCAAUCUAGAGUCCGGAAGAGGUUAGUGGAAUUCCCAGUGUAGAGGUGAAAUUCGUAGAUAUUGGGAAGAACACCAGUGGCGAAGGCGGCUAACUGGUCCGGUACUGACGCUGAGGUGCGAAAGCGUGGGGAGCAAACAGGAUUAGAUACCCUAGUAGUCCCUGAGCGGGCUGGCAAGGCGCAU